rnacentral:tRNA from 1 species
GCUGAGGUAGCUCAGUUGGUUAGAGCAUUCGCCUGAAGAGCGAAGGGUCGGCAGUUCGAAUCUGCCCCUCAGCACCA